rnacentral:rRNA from 1 species
GACGAACGCUGGCGGCGUGCUUAACACAUGCAAGUCGAACGAUGAAGCUGGAGCUUGCUCCGGUGGAUUAGUGGCGAACGGGUGAGUAACACGUGAGCAAUCUGCCCUUGACUCUGGGAUAACUGCGGGAAGCUGUAGCUAAUACCGGAUAUGAGGCUUGGAGGCAUCUCCAGGUCUGGAAAGAAUUUCGGUCAAGGAUGAGCUCGCGGCCUAUCAGCUAGUUGGUGAGGUAAUGGCUCACCAAGGCGACGACGGGUAGCCGGCCUGGAAGGGUGACCGGCCACACUGGGACUGCGACACGGCCCAGACUCCUACGGGGGGCAGCAGGGGGGAAGAGUGCACAAUGGGCGAAAGCCUGAUGCAGCAACGCCGCGUGAGGGAUGAAGGCCUUCGGGUUGUAAACCUCUUUUAGCAGGGAAGGAGCGAAAGUGACGGUACCUGCAGAAAAAGCACCGGCUAACUACGUGCCAGCCGCCGCCGUAA